UUUUCAGCUCUCAUUUGUAUGAGCGACUUCAGUCCUCUCUGGUCUUUUAGGUGACUUCAUUAUUUCAUAGGAUUUUUCAAGUAUGUAUAAUAUUUUUUGAGGGGUUAACGAAUGCAUUUCUACUUGUUUCUUGAAGGUUUGUGUCAUUUCAAACAAUGAAGCUAAGCAGAAGAGAGGUUCCUAUUUAUGUGAGUAACACUUUUCUGUCUUUGCCUGUGUUUUUGAGAUGAAAAUCUUGCUAAUGCGCUUUAAGAAAAAGAAUUGCUAUACAGGUCUACAAUGAAAUAUAUAAAAGUAAACUAUUAAUGUGAAUGUUGUGCAUGUGUGUUUAAGGGCCAAGCAAAGGUUUUUGCACUGAUCCCAUCGGUUCAGGAGGAAGAGGUUUUUGUGGUUCUAGAGGGCUCAACUCUACUACAUGUUCUACAAACUAGAGUUCACUCAAUGCUAUAUUUCAUUGUUCCAGGUGAAAAACUAUAAUAAAGAGAUAAAAUAAUAUAAUGUAAAAUAUUAUAAUCCAUUUUCCAAACCUCUUGUCCUAGGGUAUAUACUGUAUAAUAUAAUAUAAUAUUAAUAUAAAUCAUAGUAAAGAUUAAUAAACAACUUUUCUUACUUUACUUCUCCUCCAAUAGUACAUUUCCAAGGUACUAUUCAUACUGAUUAUUUAUGUGUAUUUAUGUGUAUUUCCAUUGUUGCGUUUAGGUCAUAACCAGCCAGAGAUGGUGCAUGUCCGAGCGUAUAUAUUUACAGAUGAUACUGUGAUGUGUGUGGGUGUGUCUUAUCUGACAUACGUGGAGGAUAAUGCGCAGGAGCUGGCUGAAUACCUGGUUACCCAUAGCGACUGUCUCAGCACCACUGAGCACAGACAUCUGAUUGGUCGAUAUGUUUUGAAUGACAGCUCUGUGAGGGCAGAUCUGGAUCAAAGGGUCACACUCGCCCUAGCCAACCUACACACCCCUCACAAUCUUCUCGGACAGUCAUCACAAGAAUCUCUCCUGCAUGUGUGUGCGCGUCUGGGCUUUGUGAGCGUCUCCGAGUUCCUUCUCUGUCAACCUGGCGCCCUGAUGACUAUCUGCUCAGCCAAUCAGGAUGGGGACACGCCCCUUCAGCUGGCCCAACAGACCAAUCAGCAUGCUCUGAUAAAACUCUUUAAGAACCCUCCUAAUCCAUUAUCCACGCCCCUGGCAGGCGUGUCACAGGUGUGGGCCGGUAAAUCCCACCUCCUCAGGUUUAGCCACGCCUCUGGGAUGCUGUCUCUGUCUGUGUGUGUAUCCGAGUCCUGUCCUACUACAAAGACCUUUCAGUCAUCCAUAUUACUGCUGCGAGAGUAUGUGAAAGAUUCUGCUCUACUAAACAAGGUCAGAUAAUAGAGGUUAAAGGUCACACAGAUAUAAAUUUUGAAUUAAAAUUGACUGAAUAAAAUUAUUUGGAUUUGAAUAAGUUUAGCA
ensembl:lncRNA